rnacentral:lncRNA from 1 species
AUAAAACCAAGCAAAGUUCACAUUGUCAAAGAGUUUCAAGUUUUAAUAUGAGUUUUUUUGGUUUUUACACCACUGAAUGUUAAUGUGGAGAGAUGCAAAAUGUUAUUCUCAACGAGCUUGCAGAAAUAAAAGUUCUUUUAAAAGAAGUUAUAGAAAUUAAGUUUCAGGCUACUGGGGUGAAGUUGCUAGAAUCAGUGGACGAAGUUGUUACACUGAAUAUUAAACUAAAAGAUAAAACUGAGUAUAUUAAUUUGGUAUAAUCUAAUUAUCUUAAUUUUUAAUAAGUUUGUUUAAAUUUGGUUUACUAGUUUAGAAUCUAAAUGAAAAGUAUUUGUAAAUGAACUAAAAUAACUAGCUUGUGUUAGACUCAAUAUGUUGUAAAGAAAUUUAAGUUACACUAGUUUUUAUUACAUUUAUUUCAGCUUGAUAGUUUGAAAAAGAUUGGUGGUGGAAAGCCAAGA